rnacentral:rRNA from 1 species
UACAGAGGGGGCAAGCGUUAUUCGGAAUUAUUGGGCGUAAAGGGCGCGUAGGCGGCUUGGCAAGUGGAAGGUGAAAUCCCUCGGCUUAACCGAGGAACUGCCCUCCAAACUGCUUGGCUUGAGACCGGGAGAGGUGAGUGGAAUUCCCAGUGCAGCGGUGAAAUGCGUAGAUAUUGGGAGGAACACCAGUGGCGAAGGCGGCUCACUGGACCGGUACUGACGCUGAUGCGCGAAAGCGUGGGGGGCAAACAGG